GACGAACGCUGGCGGCGUGCUUAACACAUGCAAGUCGUACGGUAAGGCCCUUUCGGGGGUCCACGAGUGGCGAACGGGUGAGUAACACGUGAGUAACCUGCCCACAACUUUGGGAUAACGCUAGGAAACUGGUGCUAAUACUGGAUAUGUGCUCCUGCUGCAUGGUGGGGGUUGGAAAGCUCCGGCGGUUGUGGAUGGACUCGCGGCCUAUCAGCUUGUUGGUGGGGUAGUGGCCUACCAAGGCGGCGACGGGUAGCCGGCCUGAGAGGGUGACCGGCCACAUUGGGACUGAGAUACGGCCCAGACUCCUACGGGAGGCAGCAGUGGGGAAUAUUGCACAAUGGGCGCAAGCCUGAUGCAGCAACGCCGCGUGCGGGAGGACGGCCUUCGGGUUGUAAACCGCUUUCAGCAGGGACGAAGCUUUUUGUGACGGUACCUGCAGAAGAAGCACCGGCUAACUACGUG
rnacentral:rRNA from 1 species